GAUGAACGCUAGCGGCAGGCCUAACACAUGCAAGUCGAGGGGGAGGUUACUUUCGGGUAACUGAGACCGGCGUACGGGUGCGUAACGCGUAUACAAUCUGCCUUUCACUGGGGGAUAGCCCGAAGAAAUUUGGAUUAAUACCCCAUAGUAUAGUAAUACGGCAUCGUGAUACUAUUAAAGCUUAGGUGGUGAAAGAUGAGUAUGCGUUCUAUUAGCUAGUUGGAGAGGUAACGGCUCCCCAAGGCGAUGAUAGAUAGGGGUUCUGAGAGGGAUGUCCCCCACACUGGUACUGAGAUACGGACCAGACUCCUACGGGAGGCAGCAGUGAGGAAUAUUGGACAAUGGUCGGAAGACUGAUCCAGCCAUGCCGCGUGCAGGAUGAAGGUCUUAUGGAUUGUAAACUGCUUUUGUAAGGGAAGAAUAAGGGCUACGCGUAGUUUGAUGACGGUACCUUACGAAUAAGCAUCGGCUAACUCCGUG
rnacentral:rRNA from 1 species